rnacentral:rRNA from 1 species
CAGUAGCCGCGGUAAUACGAAGGUCCCGAGCGUUGUUCGGAAUCACUGGGCGUAAAGGGAGCGUAGGCGGCGUGGUGAGUCAGAUGUGAAAUCCCGGGGCUCAACCCCGGAACUGCAUCCGAUACUGCCAUGCUAGAGGAUUGGAGAGGUAGCUGGAAUUCUUGGUGUAGCAGUGAAAUGCGUGGAGAUCAAGAGGAACACUCGUGGCGAAAGCGAGCUACUGGACAAUAACUGACGCUGAGGCUCGAAGGCCAGGGUAGCGAAAGGGAUUAGAUACCCCAGUAGUCCCUGUCUCUUAUAC